rnacentral:lncRNA from 1 species
UUAAUUAAUUUCGUAACCGUGGUUCCCACGGUUAUAAACUAAUAAUAUAUAAUUAAAUGAAAAAUUAUGGUAUACAAACAAAUACUUUAAAAAAUAUAAUAUUUGAAUUAAUUAAAUAAAUUAACUAAGACAUUCAAUAACAAUGAUGAUAAAAAAAAUACAUUUAUAUCAACAGUAAAAUAGAAGACUCCAUACAUUCAUAAAAGGAGUGUCUUUCACAUUCUAACAUCAAUCUUGAAAACACCCUUGUUCCUCCCCUGCUGCACAAAGGUAGUACGCUAUUAAGAAUUAAUUUCCCCGAAAUUAAAAAAUAAGAGGAAAAAAAAGUUCGGUUUCAUAAUUUUUUUUUCAUGAUAACAAGGAACCUUUAAUAUCACGAUGCUUGUUUCGUAUUUGAGUCCUUGCCUUGACAAAAAUUGAGUUAUGCGACUUGUGAAUUCGCUG